rnacentral:rRNA from 1 species
AUACGUAGGUGACAAGCGUUAUCCGGAUUUACUGGGCGUAAAGGGCGUGUAGGCGGUCUUGCAAGUCAGAAGUGAAAUUCCUGAGCUCAACUCGGGCGCUGCUUCUGAAACUGCAGGACUUGAGUGCUGGAGGGGAUAGCGGAAUUCCUAGUGGAGCGGUAAAAUGCGCAGAUAUUAGGAAGAACACCGGUGGCGAAGGCGGCUAGCUGUACAGUAACUGACGCUGAGGCGCGAAAGCGUGGGGAGCAAACUGGAUUAGAUCCCCUGGUAGUCCACGCUGUAAACGAUGAAUACUAGGUGUAGGGGGUAUCGACUCCCUCUGUGCCGCAGUUAACACAAUAAGUAUUCCGCCUGGGGAGUACGGCCGCAAGGUUGAAACUCAAAUGAAUUGACGGGG